CUGAAUCCUUAUUUAAUGUAGAAACUGAGAAGAUCCCAAGAUCACCCAAUUCAGAACCACAUGGGUGUUCACCAAUUAAUAGGAGCACAAAGGGGCUGAAUGGAGCUCCGAGUGUAUCAGUGGCCCAGAAGCUACCACAGAACUAACUGCACAGCCCUCACUCGCUGCACCAUUGGACAAUAGUUUGAGUGAGAUGCUGGGACUGGCCAGAGAAGACCAGAGGCAGAGUCAGUUCAAGGGUGGACAAGACAGUCAUCCAGAGAGUGGUGAAGAAUCUGGGGAGAGUAGCAAGGAGAACUGGAGAAGCAGUAACAUUUUAUUGCUGAAUAUACAGCAAGCACCAGUGGUCUCCAGGGGACUGACCCAAGAACCCAUUGACACCUCAGAAGGAUUAGAGUCAAAUGCAGUUGUAAAUUCAAGGCCAGCGCCUUGGGCUACUGGUUUCAGCACUACUACAGCAGAGAAUGGUGGGAGUCAGCUGAGCAUCCGUCAGAUGUAGCUCUUUCCCCAUACACUCUAAGGACAUAUCCUAGAACAACAGAAGUUGCCGGAAGCCAAGCCAAUGGAUUUGUUACAGAGUCAAUAGGAGGGAAGGUAUGCUUACCGUUACUAACACUCAUUAAGUCCAACCAUAUUCCCACCACCAAGGAUGAAAUUCCAACUCCUGAAAUUGCACAUGGUCAUCCACACCUUGAGGACAGGAUUACCCCACUUGACACCUCUGCGGAGAUUCCCCUGGUGCUUGGCAUCAUCUGUGCACAUAAGGUAUGUGAACAGUACAAUAGUCGGCAUGAUGCAACAUAUGCCCAGCGACUGGACCUGGGUUGGGUUAUAGUGGGUGAAGUCUGCCUCAUUGAUGCUCACCGGCCCAUCAUCAGCACAUUUAAGACUGCUGUCCUGAAGAAUGGGCACCCAAGUCACUUCAAACCCCGUGAGAGUAGCGCCUAUAUGAACAUGAAGAUUGUAGCAGUAGCCAGCAACAGCCUGUGCAGUAGUUGGCACAUCUAUAAACAAGAUCUCGGUGCAGUGCAACCGAAGCGGGCAGAGGUUAGAAUCGUUCUUGUUGUUCAAAGACAGACUUAUACCAAGGAAAUGGAAGUGCUUCCAAUACGAAGUUAGCAGAGUGAACUUAGUCCCUUUCUUGACUCCAAGAGCCUAUUCUGAGUUGGAGGACAUAUUGAGAAAGCACAACGCACUUCAGAGGUAACUCAUUCAUUCGUUAUUCCUGGUGACCACCAUGUCACUGGUCUGCUCGUCAGACACUACCACGAGUAAGUAUGUCAAGGAUGACAUUUCUGAAGCAAGAAUGGUUAAAGUCUAUGCAGUAAGACUGCUUUCAAGGCCAGUCUCUGAGAAAGUCCUUCUUUUGCAAAAGAGUUGGUGAAAUGAUUACAAACAACAAACACAAAAUGCUGGUGGAACACAGCAGGCCAGGCAGCAUUUAUAAGGAGAAGCACUGUCGACGUUUUGGGCCGAGACCGUUCGUUAAUUUGGAUUUCAACGUAGAGCAAUCACAGCCACCUUCAUCCACUUGCCCUUGAAACAGCAAUAUCCGUACAUACUGUUUGAAAGAAUCCGAUGGACAUUUUAUUGAAAUAAUGCCCCCAUAAACAACUCUCCACUCAGCAACACUUCUAAGGCAGCACCUUCCAGACCCACGACCACUACCAUCUAGAAGGACAGCAGCAAACACCUGGGACAGCGCCACUCACCAUCCUGACCCGGAAACUUAUCACCGUUCCUUCAUUGUCACUGGGUCAAAAUCAUGGAAUUCCCUCCCUAACAGCAUCGUGGGUGUGCCUACACCUCAGCGACUACAGCAGUUCAAAAAAACAGCUCAUCACCACCUUCUCGAGGGCAACUAGGGAUGGGCAAUAAUUGCUGGCUUAGCUGGCGAUGCCCACAUCCCGUAAAUGAUUAAAUAAAAAACAACAUUUAGAAACAGACUUGACUGAUGAUAAUGUACAGAAUAAUAAUAUACAUAAUAAUAUUAUUGUACUAUGAUGUGUGUUCUCCUGUCACACUGAGAUGAACUGUUAUAUCUGCUUAAUGCAUCUCGUAGGAAAGAUUUUCUGUAAAGACCCUUAAGGCAGCAGAGCUGAAUGAGUCUCUACUCCACUACUUAUUCAGUAGGUCAUGGAGUGGAUGUGCCAAAUUGUCCACAGUGGAUACUAUAAUGGAUAAUACUUCACUGUUUAAAUAUCUAUUGGAUUAUGGGACUCAUUUUUUUCCAAAUCAAAGACCUCCACAACCAAAACCAUGCUACUACCAUUGUAUAAGAGGCACAGAAGCCUCAGGUUGCAGACCAACAAGUUCAGGAACAGUUAUUAUCCAACAAUCAUCAGGCUCCUGAACUAGUGUGGGUAAUUUUAUUCCCACUAUUCUGAACUGAUUCUGCAACCUCACUUUCAUUGGACUCUUUACAAACUCAUGUUCUCAGUGUUUUUUUUAUUUGCACAGUUUGUCUUGUUUUGCACGUUGUCAGUCUACGUUCAUGUAUAGUUUUCCAUAAAACUACUGGGGCAGCACGGUAGCCUGGUAGUUAGCACAACGCUUUACAGUACAGGUGAACAGAGUUCAAUUCCCGUCUCUGCCUGCAAGGAGUUUGUACGUUCGCCCUGUGACUGCAGGGGUUUCCUCUGGGUACUCUGGUUUCCUUCUACAGUCCAAAGGCGUAGGUUAAUUGGUCAUUGUAAAUUGUCCUGUAAUUAGGCUAAGGUCAAAUCAAGGGUUGCUGGCAUGACUGGAAGGGGUUAUUCUGUGCUGUAUCUCAAAAAGUAAAUAAGUAAAAAAUAAAUAAACAGAAUUAUAUUGACAUAGUAGUUAACAGUAACAUACAGAAUACGUAUGUUGAUGACAAAUUUACUUUGAACUUUGAAAAUUUCAGGCACACAUUUGGAGAAGUGCUCUAUUGCAGAAGAGGAAACAAAAGCAAGAAAAAUAAAGACAACGGAAAGUCUGCAGAUGCUAGAAAUCCAAGCAACACACGCAAGGGUAUUGGCCCGAAAUGUCAACUGUUUAUUCCCACCCAUAGAAGCAGCCAGCCUUGAUGAGUUCCUCCGGCAUCUUGUGUCCGUUCCAUGAAAGUUAACACCAUCAUGAUGAUGCUGCCUCUGUGCAGUAAUCUCUGCCUCUCAAUCAAAGAGUGGUUAUCAGGAAUAGAGGAAAUGUGAGUGAUUUUAAAAGGAUGAUACUUCUACUAGCAAUAAUAAGGGCUUAUAGCUGAAAAUUUUAUAACUGCGUCAAGUGGUGAUAAUAACACUUCAAGACCCUUGUAGUUUACUCCUCUCCUGUUACCUUUCAGAGAUAGUGGUUUAAAAUGCCUGUGCAACUGACCAUCAAGAACAGUAGAUUGACUACUGCUGACGUUAAAAAUUGGUACAUUCUAAUAGCCACAUGUGUUUUACACUAGGAGUUUCUGGUUAAUAUUUACAAACCAAAAUCCAAGAAGAGUUAUCCCCACUCAAUUUCAGUUUUAGUACCUCCGUUCCUGUCCACCAUGGUUACCAUCACAAGUUUCUCUCCUUGGACAAGCCAUGCUUCCUAUUACUUUCACUACAUGGACUAAUGAUAAAAAUCUGUCCAUUGUUUUGAACUCAAUGUAGUGCCAGUAGAAAUGGGAGCUUAUCACUCAGGAAUGUCCACCAUGUUUAAUUACUAAAAGACCAUAAGACAUAGGAGCAGAAUUAGGCCAUUUGUCCUAUUGAGUCUCCUCCUCCAUUUCAUCAUGGCUGAUCCAAUUUUCCUCGUGGCCCCAAUCUCCUGCCUACUCCCAGUUUCCCUUCAUGGCCUGACCAAUCAAGAAUCUAUCAACCUUCAGCAGAUCCUUUCUAAGGUAAGGGGCUACCUCCAGAAACACUGAAUUGCUGUCAAAUUUAAUUUUCAAACUCUCUGCUUUUCCUCAACACUCCUUAAGAGUUAAUAUAGAAGUGGGGAGAAAACUAUAAACACUCAACUAUUUUAUUGAGCAGUUUUUACCAAUCACAGAACUGACAAUAUGUCAUGGGUAUGGUGGUAUCCACUGUUGUUUGCAGUAAUUUUUUCAUCUUAUUACAUUUACUCAUCAUAUGGGACUGAUAUACAUGAGGGGUUGGAAGAAUCAAAUGCCAGUUUUUAGUGUUUUUCCAAACUCCACAGAUGAUGUAACACAUGUUUAUUCAAUCUGGAUUCAACUACUGUUUAAUGAGCUAUUAGCUUUACUGAAUGAUACUUAACAAAUAGCCUAGGUGAUGAGUCUCUCACGAUGUGGGAUUUAUAUACUUGGAAUGUUAUUGCUCAAUAGUGAUGAGGAGCAUUCUCCAUUAAGUCAGUGUGACAUUAUAUCCUGGACAAUCUUGCUCGAUUUUAUUCUCAAGUUAAUCCAAUUUGCGACAGAUGUCAUUCUGAAGUCGCUUCAUUGACCCACAUGUUUUGUUCUUGCCCCUGUUUGCAAAAUUACUGGAAAGAUAUUUUUGGUGUUAUCUCAACAGUUCUGAACAUCAAAUUGCAACCGCAUCCUAUUACUGCAAUUUUCAGUUUACCAGUGGUGAUAAUAGUUGUUUAUCCCCCUCAGCCCGGCGAAUGAUUGCAUUUGUCACAUUAAUGGCUAGAAGAUCUAUCCUAUUGAACUGGAAAUAAAUUAAUCCUCCAACUACAUUUCAGUGGUUUUCUCAAACUAUUUCUUGUUUGAGUUUAGAAAAAAUUAGAAGUGUUGUCUUUGACCCUUCAGUUAAAUUUGAAGAAACUUGAAGAUCAUUUAUUCAACACUUUUAUAUGAGUUAAACUGACUUUUCCUAAACCUUAUUCUUAUCACCUUUAAUUAUUUGGAUAGAGGUGCGGAGUUAUUGACACUACUGUGUAUAUUUGAAAUAAUGCAAUGGCCCAUGUCAGUUAGAUUAGUUUUUUGGGUUUUUUUUUCUCAUUUUUUUCCAUUUUCUGUAACCACUAUGAGUUUGGGAGGUUAUUAUAUGUGGAUUAUCAACUGUUUGUAUUUGUACCUUAACCUAUUAAUUAUGUACUCUCAAGCUCUUUGUGCUCGAUGUUUUGCUUUUGUUUGUUUA